ensembl:lncRNA
GAGCCGUGGAGCUGCAGACCGAAGCGAGUGUGUUUUGGGGCGGAGCUCCAGGUGACCGAGUGUCCAAUGGAAACGUCCCACACCUUUACAGUAUCCAAUCAGCAGCAAGAACAGCAGGUCCGUGUGGGUCGGUCCAGAUCUCCUCUGCUCUGCUGCUCCAGGUGUCUCGGAGGAGAACCAGGGCACAUCAACCACAUCAUGGGCCACUGAGCAGGGGGGGCUCGUCUUCACUCAGCCGUCCAACGGGACUUUACUCCUGCCUGAUGAUGUCAUUGUGAGCCCACCCACUGAAAGGACCAAUCAGGAGCUCCUUUCUAACAUUCCUCUUUGUCCGGAGCUUUCAGCCUCCAAAGAGCAACCAAUCCAACAGCCAGUCCCAUACUUUUAUUCUGAAAAAAAACUAUUUCUGGUUAGCUUGUUAGCGUAGCUCGUGAGUUCUGACACAACUCAUCUGGAGCGAAGCACAUCGUGAGCAGCUGGUUGUCCUCCAAUAUGAGACCUCCUCAUGUUCAGUAGGGGUGGGAAUCUCUUGGCACCUCAGGAUUCCAUUCCAUUCCGAUUCAGAGGUCAACGAUUCGAUUCUAAACCGAUAAAACGAUUAUCGAUGCAUCUCGAUUUUCUCAAAUCUGAGUUUGCUACUCAGAGGUUGCUAAUCA